rnacentral:rRNA from 1 species
GAAAUAUUGGUCAAUGGCCGAGAGGCUGAACCAGCCAAGUAGCGUGCAGGAUGACGGCCCUAUGGGUUGUAAACUGCUUUUAUACGGGGAUAAAGUGAGGGACGCGUCCCUUUUUGUAGGUACCGUAUGAAUAAGGACCGGCUAAUUCCGUGCCAGCAGCCGCGGUAAUACGGAAGGUCCGGGCGUUAUCCGGAUUUAUUGGGUUUAAAGGGAGCGCAGGCGGAAGCUUAAGCGUGACGUGAAAUGCAGGUGCUCAACAUCUGCACUGCGUCGCGAACUGGGUUUCUUGAGUGAGUACGACGUGGACGGAAUUCGUGGUGUAGCGGUGACAUGCUUAGAUAUCACGAAGAACCCCGAUUGCGAAGGCAGUCCACGAGUCCUUUACUGACGCUAAAGCUCGAAGGUGCGGGUAUCGAACA